rnacentral:rRNA from 1 species
UACGAAGGGGGCUAGCGUUGCUCGGAAUCACUGGGCGUAAAGGGUGCGUAGGCGGGUCUUUAAGUCAGGGGUGAAAUCCUGGAGCUCAACUCCAGAACUGCCUUUGAUACUGAGGAUCUUGAGUUCGGGAGAGGUGAGUGGAACUGCGAGUGUAGAGGUGAAAUUCGUAGAUAUUCGCAAGAACACCAGUGGCGAAGGCGGCUCACUGGCCCAUUACUGACGCUCAGGCGCGACAGCGUGGGGAUCAAACAGG